rnacentral:misc_RNA from 1 species
GUGAAUCAUCGAAUUUUUGAACGCAAAUUGCGCCUUUUUCGGAUGGGGUGUCUGUUUGAGGGCACCAUUUAACAAAUAAUGUGCAGGGUUUUUUGUUGCACACGUUGAUGAGCUUUCCAGUAAUUUUAAAUUUUUGGUGGCGCAUAAUGAACAGCGUGCUAGUUUUUUUCAGUUCGAGUGUAUUAAUAUUUUUUCUUACUUUGGUUGUGAUAAGUGUGAUCGCCCAAUGGGUUUGGCAAUU